UCCGGUUUGUCACCGGCAGUCUCGCAUGAGUCCCCAACUAAAUGCUGGCAACAUACGACGGGGGUUGCGCUCGUUGCGGGACUUAACCCAACAUCUCACGACACGAGCUGACGACCGCCAUGCACCACCUGUGCACAGGCCCCGAAGGGCUGCCGUAUUUCUACGACAUUCCUGUGCAUGUCAAGCCCAGGUAAGGUUCUUCGCGUCGCGUCGAAUUAAACCACAUGCUCCGCUGCUUGUGCGGGCCCCCGUCAAUUCCUUUGAGUUUUAAUCUUGCGAUCGUACUCCCCAGGCGGGAUGCUUAAUGCGUUAGCUGCGCCACUGACAGGCAAGCCUGCCAACGGCUAGCAUCCAUCGUUUACGGCGUGGACUAC
rnacentral:misc_RNA from 1 species